rnacentral:rRNA from 1 species
UUUUUAAUGUUUGGUUGUAUUGUUUUAUGAUUGUACUGUAAGGGGUGAUGAUGAAAAAUAAGUGGGGUUGAAAUUUGUUCCUUUUGUAUAAGGAUUCAAUAAAUAAAAGAUGAAUAUAAUAUUCCCGAAUUGAUGUGAGUUAAAUAUUUAUGGUGUCAAUUGUAACAGAAAUUGAUUUAAGGAUUUUUAGGGGUGAAAUGCUAUUCGAGUAUUAAUAUAUCUGGUUAUUAAAGUUUUAUUUUAGGUAUUUCUUUUUGGUUUGUAUAUUGUGUUUAUUGAAAGGUUGAUUUUAGUUGGGAUAAGCUAAUUAAAUAUUUAAAUUGUUUGUGUGUUGUUUUUUUUUUUGGGUUUGAAGGUUGUAAUAUUUUGGGUUAUAACAAAUUUGAUUAUUUAUGAAGGAUUAAUUUUGUAUUUAAUUGAUUUUUUUAAGGUUUGUUGGUUUUUAAUUAUGUUGAAAUUAGUAGGUGGUAAUAAGGUGAAUUGUAUUAAUUUAUAUGUAGUAGGGUAGUGAUAUUUAUAUAUGAAUAACUUGGCAAAAUAUAUUUGUGCAUGUUUAUCAAAAACUUGGUUUUUAGUGUUUAUUGAAAAUCUAACCUGCCACUUGAUGAGAAUUGAAAGGCCGCAGUAUUUUGACUGUGCGAAGGUAGCGUGAUCAUUUGUCUUUUUAUUGGAGACUUGUAUGAAUGGUUGGACAUAAAUAAUCUAUUUAAUUAAUAAAUGUUGAAUUUCUUUUUCUUGUGAAGAAACUAGAGUGAAAUUAAAAGACGAGAAGACCUUAUGAGCUUUAACCUUUCCUUCCUUUUUUUUUUCCGGGAAGGAAAGGUUUUUAACUGGGGGGGUUUUGAAAGAUGUAGUAUCUUUUGAUUUGUUUGGAUGGUUGAUGGGUUGUUGAAAUGAUCUAUGUUGUAUAGUUGUAAGAAUGAAGUUACCUUAGGGAUAACAGCGUUAUAUUUUUGUGAAGAUCUUAUUUGUGAAAAUGUUUGCGACCUCGAUGUUGAAUUAAGGUUCCCUAUUGGUGUAGGUGUUAUUGGGGGAAGUCUGUUCGACUUUUAAAUCCUUACAUGAUUUGAGUUCAGAUCGGCGUGAGCCAGAUUGGUUUCUAUCUUUAAUUUUUUUUUUUGGCUGGUUUGUACGAAAGGACUAUUGGUUGUUGAUUUUUAAC